GGGGGUGUAGCUCAGUUGGCUAGAGCGCCUGCCUUGCACGCAGGAGGUCACCGGUUCGAAUCCGGUCACCUCCA
rnacentral:tRNA from 1 species